rnacentral:rRNA from 1 species
GCGGAGGAAAAGAAACCAACAGGGAUUGCCUUAGUAGCGGCGAGUGAAGCGGCAAAAGCUCAAAUUUGAAAUCUGGCGCCUUCGGUGUCCGAGUUGUAAUUUGAAGAUUGUAACCUUGGGGUUGGCUCUUGUCUAUGUUUCUUGGAACAGGACGUCACAGAGGGUGAGAAUCCCGUGCGAUGAGAUGCCCAAUUCUAUGUAAGGUGCUUUCGAAGAGUCGAGUUGUUUGGGAAUGCAGCUCUAAGUGGGUGGUAAAUUCCAUCUAAAGCUAAAUAUUGGCGAGAGACCGAUAGCGAACAAGUACAGUGAUGGAAAGAUGAAAAGAACUUUGAAAAGAGAGUGAAAAAGUACGUGAAAUUGUUGAAAGGGAAGGGUUUGAGAUCAGACUCGAUAUUUUGUGAGCCUUGCCUUCGUGGCGGGGUGACCCGCAGCUUAUCGGGCCAGCAUCGGUUUGGGCGGUAGGAUAAUGGCGUAGGAAUGUGACUUUACUUCGGUGAAGUGUUAUAGCCUGCGUUGAUGCUGCCUGCCUAGACCGAGGACUGCGA